GACAGAGGGUGCGAGCGUUGUUCGGGAUCAUUGGGCGUAAAGCGCUUGUAGGCGGCUUGUUAAGUCGCGUGUGAAAUCCCUUGGCUCAACCAAGGAAGUGCGCGCGAAACUGGCGAGCUCGAGUGCCGGAGAGGGUCGCGGAAUUCCCGGUGUAGAGGUGAAAUUCGUAGAUAUCGGGAGGAACACCAGUGGCGAAGGCGGCGACCUGGACGGACACUGACGCUGAGACGCGAAAGCGUGGGGAGCAAACAGG
rnacentral:rRNA from 1 species